UACGGGGGGGUGCGAACGUUGUUCGGAAUCACUGGGCGUAAAGAGCGCGUAGGCGGCCUUGUAAGCGGGGUGUGAAAUCCCCCCGGCUCAACCGGGGAACUGCAUCCCAGACUGCAGGGCUUGAGGGCAGCAGAGGAAACGGGAAUUCCCGGUGUAGCGGUGAAAUGCGUAGAUAUCAGGAGGAACACCGGUGGCGAAGGCGGCUCUCUGGACCACAACUGACGCUGAGGCGCGAAAGCUAGGGGAGCAAACAGG
rnacentral:rRNA from 1 species